AAUUUGAAAUCUGGCCCUUCUGGGGUCCGAGUUGUAAUUUGUAGAGAGUGCUUCGGGGGAGACCGCGGUCUAAGUCCAUUGGAACAUGGCGUCCCAGAGGGUGAGAAUCCCGUAUGUGACCGCGGCUCGAGCCCAUGUGAAGCCUCUUCGACGAGUCGAGUUGUUUGGGAAUGCAGCUCUAAAUGGGUGGUAAAUUUCAUCUAAAGCUAAAUACUGGCUGGAGACCGAUAGCGCACAAGUAGAGUGAUCGAAAGAUGAAAAGCACUUUGGAAAGAGAGUUAAACAGUACGUGAAAUUGUUGAAAGGGAAGCGCUUGCAACCAGACCUGCCCGUAGGCGAUCACCCGCUGUUCUCAGCGGUGCACUCGUUCUGCGAUCAGGCCAGCAUCGGUUCGGGCGGUCGGAUAAAGGCCUUGGGAAUGUAGCUUCCCUUCGGGGGAGUCUUAUAGCCCUCGGUGCAAUGCGGCCAGCCGGGACCGAGGACCGCGCUUCGGCUAGGAUGCUGGCGUAAUGGUUGUAAGCGACCC
rnacentral:rRNA from 1 species